UUGUAGUCCGCUCGCUCAUCUCAGUUUCCUCUCCUCUGCAGAGUCCGGUCUUUUCCUUUUCACCGGAGCCUGGGGCUGGAGAUGAGGCCCGAGGCGGGGCUCCCCGACUUCCAAAACGCAGACGCUGCCUUCUCGGGGCCCCAGGGGUGGGGUGCCGGGGAGCAGCCCCACCCCCCAGUGCCCGCUCCACACCCCUGCCCGGCCCCCCAGGCUCCCCGCGCUCCUCUGGCGGAACCCCCUUGCACUCGCCUCUGCACACGCCCCGGGCCAGUCCCACUGGGACCCCGGGGACAACACCACCCCCCAGCCCCGGCGGUGGCGUCGGGGGAGCCGCCUGGAGGAGUCGUCUCAACUCCAUCCGCAACAGCUUCCUGGGCUCCCCUCGCUUUCACCGGCGCAAGAUGCAGGGCUGGCAAAACGUUCCUGGUUCGGGAACUUCAUCUCCUUGGACAAAGAAGAACAAAUAUUCCUCGUGCUAAAGGACAAACCUCUCAGCAGCAUCAAAGCAGACAUCGUCCAUGCCUUUCUGUCGGUGAGGGGCCUGGGUCCCCGUCGAUCCUGACCACCGCAGAACUACAAGUCCCAGCAGGCCCUGGGGCUAACCACCUUAGCAUAGGCCUGGCUUCCUCCUGGGGCUCCUGGGAUUUGUAGUUUUAUGGCCAGAGUUGGGUAGAAGUCAGUAGGCAGGAAAAAUUUAUCAUGGCCAGAGGCCUGGAACUGGGGAGAUAGGAUCCUGAAUUGCACUGUCCCCAAGGAUUGUUGAGUUCCCAUUCCCCUACUGCGA
rnacentral:lncRNA from 1 species